UACAGAGGUCUCAAGCGUUGUUCGGAUUCAUUGGGCGUAAAGGGUGCGUAGGCGGCGCUGUAAGUCGGGUGUGAAAUUUCGGAGCUUAACUCCGAAACUGCAUUCGAUACUGCCGUGCUUGAGGACUGGAGAGGAGACUGGAAUUUGACGGUGUAGCGGUGAAAUGCGUAGAUAUCGAUGAAGGAAGACCAGUGGCGAAGGCGGGUC
rnacentral:rRNA from 1 species